GUAAUUGAUCACCACGGACCCAGGGACCCUUGGUUCAUCAUCAAGGCAGGGCAGUCAUCAUGAAUAAUCAUAAAGCUGUUGCUGAGCUCCUGCAAGAGUGCGAGCAAGCACUGGACCAGCUCUUGGUGGCGCCACCAGAUGUGUCCGAGGAGGACAAGAGGGAGGACCAGCGAUGCCGAGCUUCACUCUCCAGAGAGUUAAGAACCCUGAUCCAGGAGGCAAAGGAAAUGAAGUGGCCCUUCGUGCCUGAAAAGUGGCAGUACAAACAAGCCCUGAGCCCAGAGGACAAAACCAACCUGCAGGAUGUGAUUGGCGCUGCGCUGCACCAGUUGCUGGUGGCCCUGCGUGCCUCCAUCCGGGCCCAGGACUGCACAGUGGCCACAGCCGUUAUCUUCCUGCUGGACCGUGUGCUCUACAGGCUGGACGGCACAGGCAGCCUCCUGCGGGUGGCACGGCGCCUGCACCGCCUGCAGCCCAGCACACCCAUCGCACCACAGCUGCUUAUCCGACAGGCGCGUGUCUCGGUUAACGCAGGGAAGCUCCUGAAAGCAGAGUACAUCCUCAGCAGCCUCAUCAGCAACCACGGAGCCACAGGUACCUGGCUCUACAGAAAUGAAAGCGACAAGGUCCUGGUGCAGUCAGUCUGUGUACAGAUCCGAG
rnacentral:lncRNA from 1 species